UUAGUUCAAGUUUGUAUGGAGUUGGAACGUUUGUGUACGUUUGCCGCUAGGGGCGCUGUUCCAACUGCAUACAAAUUCGAGUUA
rnacentral:pre_miRNA from 1 species